GUGCCAAGUGGGCCAUUUUUGGUAAGCAGAACUGGCGCUGUGGGAUGAACCAAACGCGGAGUUAAAGCGCCCAAAUCUACGCUCAUUGGACACCAUGAAAGGCGUUGGUUGCUUAAGACAGCAGGACGGUGGCCAUGGAAGUCGGAAUCCGCUAAGGAGUGUGUAACAACUCACCUGCCGAAGCAACUAGCCCUGAAAAUGGAUGGCGCUAAAGCGUAGUGCUUAUACUCUGCCGUCAGGGCAAAAAGGCGGGAAUUUAUUCCCGUCACGAAGCUUUGACGAGUAGGAGGGUCGCGUCGGUGAGCGCAGAAGGGUUGGACGUGAGUCUGCCUGGAGCCGCCGAUGGUGCAGAUCUUGGUGGUAGUAGCAAAUACUCUGGAGAGGCCCUGGAGGUCUGAGGUGGAGAAGGGCUUCGUGUGAACAGCCGUUGCACACGAGAGAGUCGAUCCUAAGCCCUAGGCGAAAGCCCAGGUCGAUGGUGUUACUGCUUAAUUGCUCGAGAUGUACACUGUCGUUGCGAAAGGGAAUACGGUACUCAUUCCGUAACCCAGUCUCGGAACCGAUACGCCGGUCCUCGUUACUGGUCCAGGUAACAGGACAUGCCCCAGAGACGCCGUCGGCACCUGUCGGGAGAGUUAUCUUUUCUGUAUAAGCGCGCGUACCCCCUGGAAUCUCUUAAUGAGGAGAUAGGGGGCGGCGUCGCGGAGAGCAUCGCACUUGUGGCGAUGUCGACAGGAUGUUCUCGGACCUUGAAAAUCUGGGUGAGGGCCACGCGAUCUUCCGAACUGGUUCGUACCCAUAUCCGCAGCAGGUCUCCAAGGUAAAGAGCCUCUAG
rnacentral:rRNA from 1 species